rnacentral:rRNA from 1 species
AUUGAACGCUGGCGGCAGGCCUAACACAUGCAAGUCGAGCGGAUGAAGGGAGCUUGCUCCUGGAUUCAGCGGCGGACGGGUGAGUAAUGCCUAGGAAUCUGCCUUGUAGUUGUGGAUAACGUCCGGAAACGGGCGCUAAUACCGCAUCCGUCCUGAGGUAGAAAGUGGGGGUUCUUCGGACCUCUCGCUAUCAGAUGAGCCUAGGUCGGAUUAGCUAGUUGGUGGGGUAAAGGCCUACCAAGGCGACGAUCCGUAACUGGUCUGCGGGGGUGAUCAGGCAAACGGGAAGAGAGAAGGGGGGCAGAAACCUAAGGGAGGGAGGAGGGGGGAAUAUUGGACAAUGGGCGAAAGCAUGAUCCAGCCAAGCCGCGUGUGUGAAGAAGGUCUUCGGAUUGUAAAGAACUUUAAGUUGGGAGGAAGGGAAGUAAGUUAAUACCUUGAUGUUUUGACGGUACCAACAGAAUAAGCACCGGCUAACUUCGUG